GACGAACGCUGGCGGCGCGCCUAACACAUGCAAGUCGAACGAGCGAGAGAGAGCUUGCUUUCUCGAGCGAGUGGCGAACGGGUGAGUAACGCGUGAGGAACCUGCCUCAAAGAGGGGGACAACAGUUGGAAACGACUGCUAAUACCGCAUAAGCCCACGGUGCCGCAUGGCACAGAGGGAAAAGGAGCAAUCCGCUUUGAGAUGGCCUCGCGUCCGAUUAGCUAGUUGGUGAGGUAACGGCCCACCAAGGCAACGAUCGGUAGCCGGACUGAGAGGUUGAACGGCCACAUUGGGACUGAGACACGGCCCAGACUCCUACGGGAGGCAGCAGUGGGGAAUAUUGCACAAUGGGGGAAACCCUGAUGCAGCGACGCCGCGUGGAGGAAGAAGGUCUUCGGAUUGUAAACUCCUGUUGUUGGGGAAGAUAAUGACGGUACCCAACAAGGAAGUGACGGCUAACUACGUGCCAGCAGCCGCGGUAAAACGUAGGUCACAAGCGUUGUCCGGAAUUACUGGGUGUAAAGGGAGCGCAGGCGGGAAGACAAGUUGGAAGUGAAAUCUAUGGGCUCAACCCAUAAACUGCUUUCAAAACUGUUUUUCUUGAGUAGUGCAGAGGUAGGCGGAAUUCCCGGUGUAGCGGUGGAAUGCGUAGAUAUCGGGAGGAACACCAGUGGCGAAGGCGGCCUACUGGGCACCAACUGACGCUGAGGCUCGAAAGUGUGGGUAGCAAACAGGAUUAGAUACCCUGGUAGUCCACACCGUAAACGAUGAUUACUAGGUGUUGGAGGAUUGACCCCCUCAGUGCCGCAGCUAACACAAUAAGUAAUCCACCUGGGGAGUACGACCGCAAGGUUGAAACUCAAAGGAAUUGACGGGGGCCCGCACAAGCAGUGGAGUAUGUGGUUUAAUUCGACGCAACGCGAAGAACCUUACCAAGUCUUGACAUCCCUUGACAGACAUAGAAAUAUGUAAUCUCUUCGGAGCAAGGAGACAGGUGGUGCAUGGUUGUCGUCAGCUCGUGUCGUGAGAUGUUGGGUUAAGUCCCGCAACGAGCGCAACCCUUAUGGUCAGUUACUACGCAAGAGGACUCUGGCCAGACUGCCGUUGACAAAACGGAGGAAGGUGGGGAGGACGUCAAAUCAUCAUGCCCUCUAUGACUUGGGCUACACACGUACUACAAUGGCGUUAAACAAAGAGAAGCAAGACCGCGAGGUGGAGCAAAACUCAGAAACAACGUCCCAGUUCGGACUGCAGGCUGCAACUCGCCUGCACGAAGUCGGAAUUGCUAGUAAUCGUGGAUCAGCAUGCCACGGUGAAUAAGUUCCCGGGCCUUGCACA
rnacentral:rRNA from 1 species